rnacentral:rRNA from 1 species
CCAGAGUUUGAUCAUGGCUCAGAUUGAACGCUGGCGGCAGGCCUAACACAUGCAAGUCGAGCGGAAACGAGUUAUCUGAACCUUCGGGGAACGAUAACGGCGUCGAGCGGCGGACGGGUGAGUAAUGCCUAGGAAAUUGCCCUGAUGUGGGGGAUAACCAUUGGAAACGAUGGCUAAUACCGCAUGAUGCCUACGGGCCAAAGAGGGGGACCUUCGGGCCUCUCGCGUCAGGAUAUGCCUAGGUGGGAUUAGCUAGUUGGUGAGGUAAGGGCUCACCAAGGCGACGAUCCCUAGCUGGUCUGAGAGGAUGAUCAGCCACACUGGAACUGAGACACGGUCCAGACUCCUACGGGAGGCAGCAGUGGGGAAUAUUGCACAAUGGGCGCAAGCCUGAUGCAGCCAUGCCGCGUGUGUGAAGAAGGCCUUCGGGUUGUAAAGCACUUUCAGUCGUGAGGAAGGUAGUGUAGUUAAUAGCUGCAUUAUUUGACGUUAGCGACAGAAGAAGCACCGGCUAACUCCGUGCCAGCAGCCGCGGUAAUACGGAGGGUGCGAGCGUUAAUCGGAAUUACUGGGCGUAAAGCGCAUGCAGGUGGUUUGUUAAGUCAGAUGUGAAAGCCCGGGGCUCAACCUCGGAAUAGCAUUUGAAACUGGCAGACUAGAGUACUGUAGAGGGAGGUAGAAUUUCAGGUGUAGCGGUGAAAUGCGUAGAGAUCUGAAGGAAUACCGGGUGGCGAAGGCGGCCCCCUGGACAGAUACUGACACUCAGAUGCGAAAGCGUGGGGAGCAAACAGGAUUAGAUACCCUGGUAGUCCACGCCGUAAACGAUGUCUACUUGGAGGUUGUGGCCUUGAGCCGUGGCUUUCGGAGCUAACGCGUUAAGUAGACCGCCUGGGGAGUACGGUCGCAAGAUUAAAACUCAAAUGAAUUGACGGGGGCCCGCACAAGCGGUGGAGCAUGUGGUUUAAUUCGAUGCAACGCGAAGAACCUUACCUACUCUUGACAUCCAGAGAACUUUCCAGAGAUGGAUUGGUGCCUUCGGGAACUCUGAGACAGGUGCUGCAUGGCUGUCGUCAGCUCGUGUUGUGAAAUGUUGGGUUAAGUCCCGCAACGAGCGCAACCCUUAUCCUUGUUUGCCAGCGAGUAAUGUCGGGAACUCCAGGGAGACUGCCGGUGAUAAACCGGAGGAAGGUGGGGACGACGUCAAGUCAUCAUGGCCCUUACGAGUAGGGCUACACACGUGCUACAAUGGCGCAUACAGAGGGCGGCCAACUUGCGAAAGUGAGCGAAUCCCAAAAAGUGCGUCGUAGUCCGGAUUGGAGUCUGCAACUCGACUCCAUGAAGUCGGAAUCGCUAGUAAUCGUGGAUCAGAAUGCCACGGUGAAUACGUUCCCGGGCCUUGUACACACCGCCCGUCACACCAUGGGAGUGGGCUGCAAAAGAAGUAGGUAGUUUAACCUUCGGGGGGACGCUUACCACUUUGUGGUUCAUGACUGGGGUGAAGUCGUAACAAGGUAGCCGUA